UGCCACACAGAUUUUGUAAUUUACCUGCUGCAAUGUCCGUGUGGCAAACAAUAUGUUGGAAAAACUAAAAGAUAUUUAAAAGUGCGAUUAAUGGAACAUAUCAAUAAUAUUAAAAAGGGCAUCACUACCCACUCUUUUCUGGUCCACUGUAACUACUGCCCCCCACUUUAAUUGGAGGAAUUUUAGGGGUAUAGGUAUCGAGCAAGUGUCGUCCCAUUAGAAGGGAGGUGACAGAGAAUUAAAAUUUAGAACCUAAG